CACGGAGUUAGCCGAUGCUUUUUCUCCGGGUACUCUCAGCUGUGUCACACGUGACACAGCUUGCUCCCCGGUAAAAGAGGUUUACAAUCCAUAGGACCGUCUUCCCUCACGCGACUUGGCUGGUUCAGGCUCGCGCCCAUUGACCAAUAUUCCUCACUGCUGCCUCCCGUAGGAGUCUGGUCCGUGUCUCAGUACCAGUGUGGGGGACCUUCCUCUCAGAACCCCUACGCAUCGUCGCCUCGGUGGGCCGUUACCCCGCCGACUAGCUAAUGCGCCGCAUGCCCAUCCCUGGCCGGAAUCGCUUCCUUUGAUCCUAACGGGAUGUCCCGCAAGGAUGUUACGCGGUAUUAGACCGGAUUUCUCCGGCUUACUCCCCCAGCCAGGGGCAGGUUGCAUACGUGUUACUCGCCCGUGCGCCGGUCGCCGGCGGAUGAAGCAAGCUCAUCCCCGCUCGCCCCUCGACUUGCAUGUGUUAACGCCUUGUCGCUAGCCGUUCGACUCCCGUAGCGACGAGUA
rnacentral:rRNA from 1 species